rnacentral:rRNA from 1 species
UGGGGAAUAUUGGACAAUGGGCGCAAGCCUGAUCCAGCCAUGCCGCGUGAGUGAUGAAGGCCUUAGGGUUGUAAAGCUCUUUCGCCGACGAAGAUAAUGACGGUAGUCGGAGAAGAAGCCCCGGCUAACUUCGUGCCAGCAGCCGCGGUAAUACGAAGGGGGCUAGCGUUGUUCGGAAUCACUGGGCGUAAAGCGCACGUAGGCGGAUUGUUAAGUCAGGGGUGAAAGCCUGGAGCUCAACUCCAGAACUGCCCUUGAUACUGGCAAUCUCGAGUCCGGAAGAGGUAAGUGGAACUGCGAGUGUAGAGGUGAAAUUCGUAGAUAUUCGCAAGAACACCAGUGGCGAAGGCGGCUUACUGGUCCGGUACUGACGCUGAGGUGCGAAAAGCGUGGGGAGCAAACAGGAUUAGAUACCCUGGUAGUCCACGCCGUAAACGAUGGAGGCUAGCCGUUGGCGAGCAUGCUCGUCAGUGGCGCAGCUAACGCAUUAAGCCUCCCGCCUGGGGAGUACGGUCGCAAGAUUAAAAACUUAAAGGAAUUGACGGGGUCAUAGCUGUUUCCU